UAGUUCAAUGGCAAAGUACAUGUUUGGUAUGCAUGAGGCCCUGGGUUCAAUUCCCAG
rnacentral:tRNA from 1 species